rnacentral:lncRNA from 1 species
AUUGACGAUGUUGUCUUCUGUUCUUAUUUCCCCAGUGGCCUGGCUGCUUUGGGCUGGGCUGUGAGGUGGUCUCUGGGUGCUGGUCUAGGCAGAAAGGCAGAGGCAGGAGGAGCCUGCAGUGGUGGAGUGGCUGUGGGUGUUAAGGUGGUGCCCGUGCCUGUCCAUGCCCGGGGUCCGGAGUAGAUAGCAGCUAAAAUGCUUUGCUCUGCCCUCCCAACAGACGCUGGUUGGAGGGAGCCUCAGCAAUGGACUCAGGAACAGGCUUGCUGGAGACACAGCCCUGGAUUAAAACAUACAUGAGUCUGUCAGUGCCCAGAUCAAUAACUUUUCAAGCGUUUAAUGCCACAGCGGUGGUCCGUCACAUG